rnacentral:rRNA from 1 species
GUAUGGGGGCUGACGCCUGCCCAGUGCCGGAAGGUUAAAUGGAGUGGUUAGCGCAAGCGAAGCUACGAAAUGAAGCCCCGGUGAACGGCGGCGGUAACUAUAACCGUCCUAAGGUAGCGAAAUUCCUUGUCAGGUAAGUUCUGACCCGCACGAAAGGCGUAACGAUUUGGGCACUGUCUCAACGAGAGACUCGGUGAAAUUGUAGUACCAGUGAAGAUGCUGGUUACCCGCGACAGGACGGAAAGACCCCAUGGAGCUUUACUGCAGGUUGAUAUUGAGUGUCUGUGUGACAUGUACAGGAUAGGUAGGAGCCAUUGAAGCCGGAACGCUAGUUUCGGUGGAGGCGCUGGUGGGAUACUACCCUUGUGACAUGGCCACUCUAACCCGCGACCGUAAUCCGGUCGGGAGACAGUGUCAGUCGGGCAGUUUGACUGGGGCGGUCGCCUCCUAAAAUGUAACGGAGGC